ACUCCUACGGGAGGCAGCAGUGGGGAAUAUUGCACAAUGGGCGCAAGCCUGAUGCAGCCAUGCCGCGUGUAUGAAGAAGGCCUUCGGGUUGUAAAGUACUUUCAGCAGUGAGGAAGGUGGGUAUGUUAAUAGCAUACUCAUUUGACGUUAGCUGCAGAAGAAGCACCGGCUAACUCCGUGCCAGCAGCCGCGGUAAUACGGAGGGUGCGAGCGUUAAUCGGAAUUACUGGGCGUAAAGCGCAUGCAGGUGGUUUGUUAAGUCAGAUGUGAAAGCCCGGGGCUCAACCUCGGAAUUGCAUUUGAAACUGGCAAACUAGAGUACUGUAGAGGGGGGUAGAAUUUCAGGUGUAGCGGUGAAAUGCGUAGAGAUCUGAAGGAAUACCGGUGGCGAAGGCGGCCCCCUGGACAGAUACUGACACUCAGAUGCGAAAGCGUGGGGAGCAAACAGGAUUAGAUACCCUCGUAGGCUCUGC
rnacentral:rRNA from 1 species